rnacentral:rRNA from 1 species
UACAGAGGGGGCAAGCGUUGUUCGGAAUUACUGGGCGUAAAGGGCGCGUAGGCGGGAUGGCAAGUCGGUCGUGAAAUCCCUCGGCUUAACCGGGGAACUGCGUCUGAUACUGGAUGGCUUGAGUUUGGGAGAGGGACGCGGAAUUCCAGGUGUAGCGGUGAAAUGCGUAGAUAUCUGGAGGAACACCGGUGGCGAAGGCGGCGUCCUGGACCAACACUGACACUGAGGAGCGAAAGCCAGGGGAGCAAACGGG